rnacentral:lncRNA from 1 species
AGGGUGAAAGAAGAAUAUACAUCGGAGUAUAUCCCUGACCAAUGAUUAAUAAAAGGCGAAAAGAGAAUAUACAUAAGAGUAUACAAGGCUAAGGAAUGAAUAUACAAAAUGAACAAUUGAAGGAAGGGAUACAUAAUAGUACCAUAGCUACAUAUAGAUAGGUAUAUAUAUAUAUACAUAUCGAUAUAGGUCAACCCAAGACAUAACCUAAAUCAUCAUGUUUAAUUUCAAGGCUUUGUUAUAAUCCUAACAAGAUUUAAUACUAUCAUACUCAAGGUUUCUAAUCUACAUGGCUAUAUGUGAAAUAAUCAUGAAUAAUAAUGCAGUCGUAAGAUAGGAGAGACUAGAAGCAUACGUCAGAUAUCGAUAUCAAAUCAAGGACCAUAUGUCAUAAACUAGCCAUAAUAAUGAUCAUAAUAAUGAUAAUAACAAUAUUAAUAAGAGCGCGAGUAACCAGCUAUUCCGAAUAACCAAAUACCUAGCCAAGCCUAUGUGUUCCCCACUGCCC